rnacentral:rRNA from 1 species
AAUACGUGGCACACGGCUCAGUAACACGUAGUCAACAUAACCAAAGGACGUGGAUAAACUCGGGAAACUGAGGCUAAACCGCGAUAGAUCAAGAUAUCUGGAAUGGUUUUUGAUCAAAAUCUAUAUGGCCUUUGGAUUGGACUGCGUCCGAUCAGGCUGUUGGUGAGGUAAUGGCCCACCAAACCUGUAACCGGUACGGGCUCUGAGAGGAGGAGCCCGGAGAUGGGUACUGAGAAAAGGACCCAGGCCCUAUGGGGCGCAGCAGGCGCGAAACCUCUGCAAUAGGCGAAAGCCUGACAGGGUUACUCUGAGUGACUUUCGCUAAGAAAGUCUUUUGACACCUCUAAAAAUGGUGUAGAAUAAGGGGUGGGCAAGUCUGGUGUCAGCCGCCGCGGUAAUACCAGCACCCCGAGUGGUCGGGACGAUUAUUGGGCCUAAAGCAUCCGUAGCCGGUUUUACAAGUCCUCCGUUAAAUCCAGCUGCUUAACAGAUGGGCUGCGGAGGAUACUAUAAGACUAGGAGGCAGGAGAGGCAAGCGGUACUCAGUGGGUAGGGGUAAAAUCCGUUGAUCCAUUGAAGACCACCAGUGGCGAAGGCGGCUUGCCAGAAUGCGCUCGACGGUGAGGGAUGAAAGCUGGGGGAGCAAACCGGAUUAGAUACCCGGGUAGUCCCAGCUGUAAACGAUGCAGACUCGGUGAUGGACUAGCUUUAUGCUAGUCCAGUGCCGCAGGGAAGCCGUUAAGUCUGCCGCCUGGGUAGUACGGUCGCAAGACUGAAACUUAAAGGAAUUGGCGGGGGAGCACCACAAGGGGUGAAGCCUGCGGUUCAAUUGGAGUCAACGCCGGG